UUGUUACCUUAGGAUUGGGAAACGAAAGUGAGGGUAACCACGGGACUUGACAGACAAACUCUACAUUUCUUAACAGGUCUGUGAUGGAACUGUUGUCAAGAACUUGCGUAGUCUUAAAUUUUAUGUUGAACUUGUAUUUUGAGUUGUAAUUUUUUUGUUUAUAAGACUUUAUCUUUGAGUUUUAUAAGUUUGAAUUUGUAAGUUGGGCACUUAUUAUGUAAAUUAAGUUUAAAAUUGUAAGUUUGACAUUUAAUUCUAUAUUAUAAGUUUAAGAAGUUGGUGUGACGAUUAUAUU